rnacentral:rRNA from 1 species
UGGGGAAUAUUGCACAAUGGGCGCAAGCCUGAUGCAGCCAUGCCGCGUGUGUGAAGAAGGCCUUCGGGUUGUAAAGCACUUUCAGCGGGGAGGAAGGCGAUAAGGUUAAUAACCUUGUCGAUUGACGUUACCCGCAGAAGAAGCACCGGCUAACUCCGUGCCAGCAGCCGCGGUAAUACGGAGGGUGCAAGCGUUAAUCGGAAUUACUGGGCGUAAAGCGCACGCAGGCGGUCUGUCAAGUCGGAUGUGAAAUCCCCGGGCUCAACCUGGGAACUGCAUUCGAAACUGGCAGGCUAGAGUCUUGUAGAGGGGGGUAGAAUUCCAGGUGUAGCUGUGAAAUGCGUAGAGAUCUGGAGGAAUACCGGUGGCGAAGGCGGCCCCCUGGACAAAGACUGACGCUCAGGUGCGAAAGCGUGGGGAGCAAACAGG